rnacentral:rRNA from 1 species
UACGUAGGGUGCAAGCGUUGUCCGGAAUUAUUGGGCGUAAAGAGCUUGUAGGCGGUUUGUCGCGUCUGCUGUGAAAUUUCGGGGGCUCAACCCCCGAACUUGCAGUGGGUACGGGGCAGACUAGAGUGUGGUAGGGGAGACUGGAAUUCCUGGUGUAGCGGUGAAAUGCGCAGAUAUCAGGAGGAACACCGAUGGCGAAGGCAGGUCUCUGGGCCACUACUGACGCUGAGAAGCGAAAGCAUGGGGAGCGAACAGG